rnacentral:lncRNA from 10 species
CUUGUCUGCCAGCAUGUAAGACGUCCCUUUCCUCUUCCUUUGUCUUCCACCAUGAUUGUGAGGCCUCCCCAGCCAUGUGGAACUGUGAGUCCAUUAAACCUCUUUCCUUUAUAAAUUACGUGGUCUCGGGUAUGUCUUUAUUAGCAACAUGAGAAGAGAUUAAUACAACUACCUUUACCUAUAAUCUCACCCAAGGAACCAGCCCAGACAUCCAUGUUUGUACCAUGUAAUUUCAUUCCCUACCCCCAACACAUACGCGAUUGGAUCAGGAUUGCCGGCUAGUUUAUUAGUAGAUAAAAGCGUUGAUAAAGCAAAGACAAAGAGAGCCCACUAGUGUUAGGUUCUGGAACUGACAAGUCACGGAGAGAGAACUUGAAACCAUACCAAGGUAUGCCCUAUACAUAUGUGUAUAUGAAUACAUGAAGAAAAGGCCAGGGGAAGACACACCAGCUGAUAAUAACUGUGAUUACCUCUGGAAAAGCUACAUGAGUGGUCAACAGGGACUUGGGCUUCAUCUAUAAUGUCUGACUUUUUUUUACAUGAAAUACUUACAUCAUUAAACAUACUUUUUAAUUAUUUAGAAAAAUAUUGAACAAACAAGAAUGAAAAAAGAAAAAGCUGCAUAAGAAACUGUGCUAAUGUGAAAAUAGUUGCAAAAUAUAGGGAUGUGGUGUUACCCAGUUUGCCAACCUGUGAACCUAUGGAAGUCAUGGCUAAAAGUUUACAAAUUCAUGCUACCAGAUUCUGACACAAAACUUUAACGAGUCUUUACCAUCAGCUGUUUUAUUGAAAUGAGAAGAAAUAAGAUUUAUCUACAUACUGCCCAAUGGCAUAAUUAGAUAAUUCUAGAUUCCCUUAGAGUUCAGUUCUCAACAAAAGAUGAACAGUCCUGGGCUCUUUCUCAACCAACCUUGAUAAAAUCUGAAAAGCUGUCCCUGUCAGGAAAGCUGGUAACAGAUUAGCUGAAGCAGUAGUGCUGAUAAGGAGCUUCAAACCCUUAAAGUCUGAGGUGCCUCUAUUGCAAAAAAUUAGCUGUGGACAAAUAGGAAACAACAAAUAACAGGCGACCUGUUCUUUUUUUUUUUU